AUCAUUGUGUACAAUCAAAUGUUAGAUACUGCAGAAAUAAACAAAAUGUAUUGUUAACCUUCGCGUUACGUUAAGGAUGCGCAGUUUAUUUAUGAAGUGCAACAAGAACCUACACGCGGAUGACAUCAAAGUACUGCGAGAGCGACUCGAAAGAUCAUGGGCAGGAUUCUGAUUUCAAAUCACUCUCGCGGUAUUUUAACGUCAUCCGUUUCUCCAGUUCCUACAACUCAGCAUUACGUUGAACACCUUGUCAAAAAUGAUUGAGAUGGCCAAUCAAAUCAAAAAAGGCGAGUGCCACUGGCCAAUCACAUAACAGAAGACGAGCUUUCCUGUUAACGGAAGCCGAGCGGCGGCCAAUCAAAUUAACCAAUAGGCGGGGUUACCGUCGGAGUAGCAGUUACACCGCGUCAAUCAAUCAUAACGGACACAGAUUUCAAAGGCAGCAGGAUGAAAGAUAUGUGUCUGUGUUCAUCAAGACAUGAAGACUCUGGAGUGGGACAAGAGAAGGAUGAUGGGGUGUAUAUUCCAAUAGACACAUUAAGUCACAUUGUGAUUUCAGUGAAAGCUGAUAAAUACAGAGGGCUGGACAGUGGUUUCAUUCAUUAGGUAAAGAGGUGGGACAAGGAUGCUGACAGGACAGGAGGAGGUGACAUUCAGACAUUCAACGCAGCCAUUUUCAUCCAAAGCAACUUGAGGAAGAAAACAGAAGCAGUUCAUCCUAAAAGUGGGCUGCUGUAAUGUUUACAUCUAUGGAAAGAGGAGCUGAGAAGAAAAGAGAGGCUGGAAAGCAGUACUUCUUGUUGAGGACAAUCCUGAAUAGGAACACUUUCUCAUACACAUAGAUUAUUAUUAGUGCUUGAUUGUUUGUUUCAUUUUUAUGAAUUGUAUUGUUUUAAUUUUUUGUUUUAUUUGAAAUUACCUAAGUUAGAUUCAUGCUAAUACUUUAACUGGACCUUGUAUCUUUGCUGGCUGGCUGUAGAGUUGGU